GAAGGAACUCGGCAAAUUUAUUCUGUAACUUCGGGAAAAAGAAUACUUUUUUAUAAUAAAAUAUAAGAAAGUGACAUUAAAGAGAGGGCGACGACUGUUUAAUAAAAACACAGGACUUUUGCUAAUUCGAAAGAAGACGUAUAAGGUCUGACUCCUGCCCGGUGCUGCAAAAUGAAAAAAUUAAUCUUUUUUAAUUAUAAAUUCCAGUAAACGGCGGCUGUAACUCUGACGGUCCUAAGGUGCGAAGUUCCUUGGCGGGUAAGUUCCGUCCUGCAUGAAUGGAGUAACGAUUGUCCUACUGUCUCCAAUAUUAUCUUGAUGAAAUUGAAUUGGUUGUGAAGAUGCAAUUAUAUACAAUUAGACGGAAAGACCCUAUGCACCUUUACUAUAGUCAUAAUCAAAAACUUUAAUAAAUUAUUAAUAGGAUUAUAGUACUAUAUUAAUUUUUAAUUUUUUUUUUA
rnacentral:rRNA from 1 species